UCACAAUUGUCUUAAUAUCGCUUCAUUAUAAUCCUUCCUCAGGGCCGCCAUCAGGGGGUGACAACCGUGACUGUUGUCUCUAUCUAUGUGUGCAGCCGCGGGCCCCGAGACCCGCGGAGCGUUGCCAUGGUAACCGGGUCUUGCGAGAUCACACCCCCAGAUCACACAUUUACACACACACACACUGCAUACACUAACACAACACACAGACUGCAUACACUAACACAACACACACUGCAUACACUAACACAACACACACACUGCAUACACUAAAACAAC